rnacentral:rRNA from 1 species
UCUGCCCGGUGAGGGUUAAACGGCCGCGGUAUCUUGACCGUGCAAAGGUAGCAUAAUAACUUGUCCUUUAAUUGGGGACUGGAAUGAAUGAAAGGUACGGAGCUUUAGCUGUCUCUAUUUUAUCUUAAAAUUUCUUUUCACUGUGAAGACACAGUGUUAGAGUAGAAAGACAAGAAGACCCUAUUAAGCUUUAUCCUUUGUGAGUUCUUUUUGGCACAUUUCUAGGUGGAAAAAAAUCAUGAGGAUUUGGUUGGGGCGACUAAAAAGGAAAUUAGAUCCUCUUUGUUUUUCAAAACUAGUUUGUUCUAGGCUGAUCCAGGUUUUCUGAUUGUCAGAAUAAGUUACUAUAGGGGUAACAGCGUAAUUUUUUUGGAGAGUUCUUAUUGAGAAAAAGGUUUGCGACCUCGAUGUUGACUUGUCAUUCCCCCUUAAGAUGCAGCAGUUGGUAGGGUUAGUCUGUUCGAC